AGAGUUUGAUCCUUGGCUCAAAAUCAACGCUGGCGGCGCGCUUAACACAUGCAAGUCGAACGAGAAAGGGAGCAAUCCUGAGUAAAGUGGCGCACGGGUGAGUAACACGUGGGUAAUCUGCCCUCUGGUGGGGAAUAACUCUGGGAAACCGGAGCUAAUACCGCAUAAGACCGAAAGGUGAAAGGUUGAAAGAUCGCCGGAGGAGGAGCCCGCGGCUGAUUAGCUUGUUGGUGAGGUAAAAGCUCACCAAGGCUGAGAUCGGUAGCCGGCCUGAGAGGGCACACGGCCACACUGGCACUGAAACACGGGCCAGACUCCUACGGGAGGCAGCAGUGGGGAAUCUUGCACAAUGGAGGAAACUCUGAUGCAGCGACGCCGCGUGAGUGAUGAAGCCCUUCGGGGUGUAAAGCUCUUUCGACCCGGAAGAUUAUGACGGUACGGGGGGAAGAAGCUGCGGCUAACUACGUGCCAGCAGCCGCGGUAAUACGUAGGCAGCGAGCGUUGUUCGGAGUUACUGGGCGUAAAGCGUGCGUAGGCGGUGUCUUAAGUUUGUUGUGAAAUCUCCCGGCUUAACCGGGGAGGGUGCGGCGAAUACUGAGAUGCUGGAGUGCGGGAGAGGGUAAGCGGAAUUCCCGGUGUAGCGGUGAAAUGCGUAGAUAUCGGGGAGGAACACCUGCGGUGUAGACGGCUUACUGGACCGUAACUGA
rnacentral:rRNA from 1 species